rnacentral:rRNA from 1 species
GAGAGCCGUAACACAGGUGCUGCAUGGCUGUCGUCAGCUCGUGUCGUGAGAUGUUGGGUUAAGUCCCGCAACGAGCGCAACCCUUGUCAUUAGUUGCUACAUUCAGUUGGGCACUCUAAUGAGACUGCCGGUGACAAGCCGGAGGAAGUGGGAUGACGCCAAGUCCUCAUGGCCCUUAUAGGUGGGGCUACACACGUCAUACAAUGGCUGGUACAAAGGGUUGCCAACCCGCGAGGGGGAGCCAAUCCCAUAAAGCCAGUCGUAGUCCGGAUCGUAGUCUGCAACUCGACUACGUGAAGUCGGAAUCGCUAGUAAUCGUGGAUCAGAAUGUCACGGUGAAUACGUUCCCGGGUCUU